UACGAAGGGGGCUAGCGUUGCUCGGAAUCACUGGGCGUAAAGCGCACGUAGGCGGAUUGUUAAGUCAGGGGUGAAAUCCUGGAGCUCAACUCCAGAACUGCCUUUGAUACUGGCGAUCUCGAGUCCGGGAGAGGUGAGUGGAACUGCGAGUGUAGAGGUGAAAUUCGUAGAUAUUCGCAAGAACACCAGUGGCGAAGGCGGCUCACUGGCCCGGUACUGACGCUGACGGUGCGAAAGCG
rnacentral:rRNA from 1 species